AUUGAACGCUGGCGGCAUGCCUUACACAUGCAAGUCGAACGGUAACGGGUCCUUCGGGAUGCCGACGAGUGGCGAACGGGUGAGUAAUAUAUCGGAACGUGCCCAGUAGUGGGGGAAAACUGCUCGAAAGAGCAGCUAAUACCGCAUACGACCUGAGGGUGAAAGGGGGGGAUCGCAAGACCUCUCGCUAUUGGAGCGGCCGAUAUCAGAUUAGCUAGUUGGUGGGGUAAAGGCCUACCAAGGCAGCGAUCUGUAGUUGGUCUGAGAGGACGACCAGCCACACUGGGACUGAGACACGGCCCAGACUCCUACGGGAGGCAGCAGUGGGGAAUUUUGGACAAUGGGCACAAGCCUGAUCCAGCAAUGCCGCGUGCAGGAAGAAGGCCUUCGGGUUGUAAACUGCUUUUGUCAGGGAAGAAAUCUUCUGGGCUAAUACCCCGGGAGGAUGACGGUACCUGAAGAAUAAGCACCGGCUAACUACGUGCCAGCCGCCGCGGUAA
rnacentral:rRNA from 1 species